rnacentral:rRNA from 1 species
AUUGAACGCUGGCGGCAUGCCUUACACAUGCAAGUCGAACGGCAGCACGGGAGCAAUCCUGGUGGCGAGUGGCGAACGGUGAGUAAUAUAUCGGAACGUGCCCGGUCGUGGGGGAUAACGUAGCGAAAGCUACGCUAAUACCGCAUACGAUCUACGGAUGAAAGCGGGGGAUCGCAAGACCUCGCGCGAUUGGAGCGGCCGAUAUCAGAUUAGGUAGUUGGUGAGGUAAAGGCUCACCAAGCCGACGAUCUGUAGCUGGUCUGAGAGGACGACCAGCCACACUGGGACUGAGACACGGCCCAGACUCCUACGGGAGGCAGCAGUGGGGAAUUUUGGACAAUGGGCGCAAGCCUGAUCCAGCAAUGCCGCGUGCAGGAUGAAGGCCUUCGGGUUGUAAACUGCUUUUGUACGGAACGAAACGGUGAGCUCUAAUACAGUUUGCUAAUGACGGUACCGUAAGAAUAAGCACCGGCUAACUACGUG